GGUUCACGCCGCGUGAGUGAUGAAGGCUUCGGAUCGUAAAACUCUGUUGUUAGGGAAGAACAAGUACCGUUCGAACAGGGCGGUACCUUGACGGUACCUAACCAGAAAGCCACGGCUAACUACGUGCCAGCAGCCGCGGUAAUACGUAGGUGGCAAGCGUUGUCCGGAAUUAUUGGGCGUAAAGCGCGCGCAGGCGGUUUCUUAAGUCUGAUGUGAAAGCCCCCGGCUCAACCGGGGAGGGUCAUUGGAAACUGGGGAACUUGAGUGCAGAAGAGGAGAGUGGAAUUCCACGUGUAGCGGUGAAAUGCGUAGAGAUGUGGAGGAACACCAGUGGCGAAGGCGACUCUCUGGUCUGUAACUGACGCUGAGGCGCGAAAGCGUGGGGAGCGAACAGGAUUAGAUACCCUGGUAGUCCACGCCGUAAACGAUGAGUGCUAAGUGUUAGAGGGUUUCCGCCCUUUAGUGCUGCAGCAAACGCAUUAAGCACUCCGCCUGGGGAGUACGGUCGCAAGACUGAAACUCAAAGGAAUUGACGGGGGCCCGCACAAGCGGUGGAGCAUGUGGUUUAAUUCGAAGCAACGCGAAGAACUUAACAGGUCUUGACAUCCUCUGACAC
rnacentral:rRNA from 1 species